rnacentral:rRNA from 1 species
UUGGCAUGGAGGAACUCUGACCAUCGACGCCGCGUGAGGGAUGAAGGCUUCGGGUUGUAACCUCUUUCAGCAGGGAAUAAGCGAAAGUGAAGGUACCUGCAGAAGAAGCACCGGCUAACUACGUGCCAGCAGCCGCGGUAAUACGUAGGGUGCAAGCGUUGUCCGGAAUUAUUGGGCGUAAAGAGCUCGUAGGCGGUUUGUCGCGUCUGCUGUGAAAAUCCGAGGCUCAACCUCGACCUGCAGUGGGUACGGGCAAACUAGAGUGCGGUAGGGGAGAAGGGAAUUCCUGGUGUAGCGGUGGAAUGCGCAGAUAUCAGGAGGAACACCAAUGGCGAAGGCACUUCUCUGGGCCGUAACUGACGCUGAGGAGCGAAAGCGUGGGGAGCGAACAGGAUUAGAUACCCUGGUAGUCCACGCCGUAAACGGUGGGUGCUAGUUGUGGGUCACAUUCCACGUGAUCCGUGACGCAGCUAACGCAUUAAGCACCCCGCCUGGGGAGUACGGUCGCAAGACUAAAACUCAAAGGAAUUGACGGGGGCCCGCACAAGCAGCGGAGCAUGCGGAUUAAUUCGAUGCAACGCGAAGAACCUUACCAAGACUUGACAUAUAGAGGAAACCUGCAGAAAUGUAGGCCCUAGCAAUAGCCGUUAUACAGGUGGUGCAUGGUUGUCGUCAGCUCGUGUCGUGAGAUGUUGGGUUAAGUCCCG